GGCUCAUUAGCUCAGUUGGUUAGAGUGAUGAGCUAAUAACCUAGAAGUUAUAAGUUCAAAUCUUGCUUGGGCUA
rnacentral:tRNA from 1 species